CUACGGGAUGCUCCAGUGGGGAAUCUUAGACAAUGGGCGCAAGCCUGAUCUAGCCAUGCCGCGUGAGUGACGAAGGCCUUAGGGUCGUAAAGCUCUUUCGCUAGGGAAGAUAAUGACUGUACCUAGUAAAGAAACCCCGGCUAACUCCGUGCCAGCAGCCGCGGUAAUACGGAGGGGGUUAGCGUUGUUCGGAAUUACUGGGCGUAAAGCGCGCGUAGGCGGAUCAGGAAGUUGGGGGUGAAAUCCCAGGGCUCAACCCUGGAACUGCCUCCAAAACUCCUGGUCUUGAGGUCGAGAGAGGUGAGUGGAAUUCCGGGUGUAGAGGUGAAAUUCGUAGAUAUUCGGAGGAACACCAGUGGCGAAGGCGGCUCACUGGCUCGAUACUGACGCUGAUGUGCGAAAGCGUGGGGAGCAAACAGGAUUAGAUACCCUCGUAGUC
rnacentral:rRNA from 1 species